AAUAAGGUUUUUUUCAAAGCCAUUUAUUUUAUACAAAUAUGAAAUA
rfam:Flavobacterium sp. 40-81 scnpilot_p_inoc_scaffold_408, whole genome shotgun sequence.